UCGCUUUGAAACAGCAAAGCGGGAGAAGAGCCACUGAGUGGGGAGGAGAGAGGGACAGAGAGCCUGCUUGCUUUAAAGGAGCAAAGCGGGAGAGGAGAGGUUGGCUCCUUUAAAGCAAGCAGGCUCUCUGUCCCUCUCUCCUCCCCACACAGCUUGCUACAUAGCAGCAAAGUU